UACGUAGGGACCGAGCGUUGUCCGGAUUCAUUGGGCGUAAAGAGCUCGUAGGCGUCUGUUACGUCUGCUGUGAAAACCCAGGGCUUAACCCUGGGCUUGCAGUGGAUACGGGCAGACUAGAGGCAGGUAGGGGAGAAUGGAAUUCCCGGUGUAGCGGUGAAAUGCGCAGAUAUCGGGAGGAACACCGGUGGCGAAGGCGGUUCUCUGGGCCUGACCUGACGCUGAGGAGCGAAAGCGUGGGGAGCAAACAGG
rnacentral:rRNA from 1 species